CCCUCACGCCAUAGCCGUGCGCGCUGGGAAGACUCCGUGAAGGGUGGGGAUGGGAAGGGAGGGAAAGAGAGAAGAAAAGAAGAAACAAGGAUGGAGGGAGGGAAUAAAUGAGGGAGGAGGACGGGGGAAGAUGCUCUGCUCUCCCGUCCUCGGGCGGCGGCAGCAGCGGCGGCGGGGCUACCAGCAAAGAGAGGCGCUGCUGCCGCUGCUGCCGCCGCCGCUAGUUAGGGGUCCUGGCGGCAGCGCGACGCCCCGAGCUGCGGCAACGUCUGCCGGCAGCGCUCGCAGAGGCUGGGCCCGGCCAUCACAGAAUGGGACCGGGGAGAGAUGGAGAAAGGUUAGGUUGAGGAGUGAGAGCACCCCUUCCCUAGGAGACCCUAUAACUUCUGACGCCGGGGAGCACCUCCCACCCCCAGCCCGCUCCGAGAAUGCCCGGGAUGUGUGCGGGCUGCGAUAGGCUAGCAGAGCUGAGCCGAGCACCCUCAAUCUGCCUCGGUUUCGGCUUCGGCUUCGGCUUCGGCUCCCGCUCCGCCCGAUCGCCAGUCGCCCGAGACCCCACCCCCACCCCGCGUGCGGAGCCCCCUCCUCCCACCCCAAAGCCGGGGCCAGCCGCGCAGCGCGAGCGGGGGCGCGCGGACCGACUGACGCGCGCUGGCCAGCGGGAGCAGCACACUCACACCCAGUCCCCUUAAACACGCAGGCGCGUAGCUGCCCCCGCCAGGCGGGGAUGCCGGAGGAGUCCCCGCGGCCUCCCGCCGCUCUCCCCAAGGGGUCAAGCUGGGGCCAAUCCCAAGCUUGCUUUCUAUCCCCCUCUUACCGCACCCUCCCUUUUCUAGCUCCUCCGACUCCUCUCUCGAUCGGGAGCCACGCCUCCCAAGCUCCAGGUAACCCCCCCCAAACACACACACUCACUCCCACCAAGCUUCUCUUCCCCACCCCCCCCAACACCACCCCUCCCCCGCGCCGCAGGCUCUGGCACGGAGCUCAGGAGCCACGUGAGACCGAAGGCGGCGGCGGUUAUUGGCGCGCGCCACUCUUCUGCCCCCCUCCUCCUCUCCCCGGCGUAACCGACCCGCUUAUGUAAUCGGAGUCAGUUGUGUAACUGUGGCGACCCUCCCCCCCCCUUCGCGUCUCCGCCAACUCCUUUCCAUUCUCCUCCCGGGCCGGCGGCCCUGGCAGCGGCUCUAGCAGCGGCUCCGAGCCGCCGUCGCCGCCGCUGCAGCCGCCGCCGGAGUCAAUUGAGCAAUUCAUGGAUCGGGGAGCGUGGGCUUCACCCACCACCCCACCACCGCGCGCGCGUGCACAUACACACGUACACACACGUGUCCCUGGGCUCCUUCAGGUUGGUCCCUCUCGAGUCUCUGCCGCCGCCUGGGUUGGGCUGCAGGGCGGGCACAGGGCGCCCUCAGAGACCCUCCUCGCGCGUGGGCCCGGUUGGAGCGAGGCAGGUGUGAGGGCCUCCCUGAGCGCAACUGCUUACCUAGGGGAAGUUAGUUGCUGUCGUUUUGGGACACCUUUCCCAGAGCGCGAGCACACGCGGACACUCACGCUCACGUACCCACUCGCCUUUCCACACACGCGCAAACCUUUUCUUCCCAAAUCGAAGCAAAUCGGGUCAGCAGCAGCAGCGAGUUAGAGAAUGGUGCUCGGGGCAGGAACUGAAUUUCGGCUCCCUUUGUUCAGGCUUCUGGCUGGACGGGAAGUCCGAGUAAUGGGGAAAAGUUACCUAAUGCUGGACUGCAGGACCAUCUGAAAUCCGGUUCUACGGGGAGGGUUAUAUGUGUGUAUUUUUUUAGCAUGUAUAUAUUAUAUACAUAUUACGCCUAUACUCGUGUACAUAUAUGUAUGUGAGUAAAUGUGCACCCGUACAGACAUACAUUCAUGCAUAUGGCAUACAUACAGAAAUACACAUAUGUACAUAGCCAAACACCGCCGGCACAAAGAAAAGGGAAAAUAAUAAAGUGCCUGCCAAAUGACGCUGUGCA
ensembl:lncRNA